GGACUGGACUGGACUGGACUAUAGUCCCUUGUUUGGUCUGCUGCAGGAUUAGGUUUAAUGAGAUUAGGUGGGACUCGCUCGGAUUAACCACCUCCUUACGAGGUCUUACCUAGGAUCCUCAAUUUCGGGCGGACUCGUAAGCCCAGAGAAAAUCGUCUUCCCUCAUCGUCGUCCUUGCCCUCCCUCAUCGUCGUCUUCCUCAUCCUCAUCUCUGCGUCUUCCUCACCCUCAUCUCUACAUCUUCCCUCGUCUGCAUCUGCUCGCCCUCAUCUGCUCCGAGUUGUCUGAAAAGAGGAGCAUAAACUGAAGUGGGCAAUGCUCAGAACCUAAGGGAAAACAAGUAACAAACUACUCAAAACCCUCGAGUCUAGAAGAAGAAAAGAGGAGUAUAAACUGAAGUGGGCAGUGCUCAGAACCUAAGGGAAAAUAAGUAACAAACGACUCAAAACCCUCGAGUCUAGAAGAAGGUAUAUUUCCUAAAACCAUAGAUCAAAUUUGGACAGAAUGUAGUCCUUGGAUGUGUGAAAGUCUGCAUUGCAUCUAUGUGAAUAUGACUUUUGUGAUAUUAUAGAAAAACCAAACUGUUUGUAUUGUUGGAAAUUUGGAAUUAGGGUUGGUGGAAUUUUGAUGGAUCUGUUAAACAUUCUAGUCUCGCAACUGCUGGAUUUGUUAUCAAUGUUUCCAACAGCGUUGUUAAAAUUGCAGGAGCUAAUCCUACAGGUUUUUCUUCAGUUCUUAAACUUGAGCCUAUGUGAUUAAAGUUUGGUGUUAUGUGCAAAUGGCUACGAUUAAAGUUUGCUAAAAGUUUGGUCUUAAUGGAAUAAAAGGUCGUUAAUUUUUUUUCCCUGUUGAAUUAGAUGACCUUGUAUCCUUGUGAGUGUCCAGGUAUAUAACUUCAUAUACUUUUGGAAUGCAACACAUUCUAUGUAGCUCUAUGUUCUAUACACUUUAGAAACUUAACAAACAACGAGUAAUAUUUGAGCAAACCUUAAAUUUCCAAACGUGAUGUCAACGAUCCAAUUGUUCAUCUUUCACAUUCUAUGUACCUCUCUCUCUCUAUAAAUCUAAUUUGAAGUGAUUGAAAAUUGGGUUUUGUGAAUUUUUUUUUUUUCUUUUGUUGUUGUUGUUGUAUGUUUUGGCUGUGAAUUGCCUUGUAGAGCUCUGUUGAACACUAGGUUACAUUGCUAUGCAAAAUUGAGGCAUUUUUGACUCCAUCAAGACUCGUGUCCAUAAGGAGCAAGGCAUUUGUCCCAGUUUUGGGGGUAUUAGUUUGGAUAAUUUCAACUUGCAAAUAAGCAAGCUCAUAUUUCAUAUAUUUUGGAUGUAUGCAAAUUAUAGUUUGGAUAAUUUCAACUUGCAAAUCAGCCGUAGGUAACUUCUUAGAUUAAGCUCUUUGGGCAUGAUUUCUUAAUUGACUAAUCUUAUUUUAGGGCGUUGGACACAUGUAUUGGAGCUAUUAAAAUAGAACCAUAAUGUAAUCCUAGUCUAAGCAAACACAAAUAUGGUGAAUAAUCAUGUUUUCAUUAUCCUGCUUCUUAGUCCGACACUCCACCAAACGCUUCACUAAGUUAGUCCAGCU